rnacentral:rRNA from 1 species
CCUANGGGAGGCAGCAGUGGGGAAUCUUGGACAAUGGGCGCAAGCCUGAUCCAGCCAUGCCGCGUGGAUGAUGAAGGCCUUAGGGUUGUAAAAUCCUUUCGCCGAGGACGAUAAUGACGGUACUCGGAGAAGAAGCUCCGGCUAACUUCGUGCCAGCAGCCGCGGUAAUACGAAGGGGGCUAGCGUUGUUCGGAUUUACUGGGCGUAAAGCGCGUGUAGGCGGGCUGGUAAGUUGGGGGUGAAAUCCCGAGGCUCAACCUCGGAACUGCCUCCAAAACUGUCAGCCUGGACCCAAGUAGAGGCAAGUGGAAUUGCGAGUGUAGAGGUGAAAUUCGUAGAUAUUCGCAGGAACACCAGUGGCGAAGGCGACUUGCUGGACUUGUGGUGACGCUGAGACGCGAAAGCGUGGGGAGCAAACAGGAUUAGAUACCCCGNUANUC